AGAUCUUCGGGGGACCAGAGUGUGACGACGACAAUGAGAGAAGCAAAAGAGGAUUUGUUCGCCUCGGCCGACAACUCUCCAAUUACUGAAGCCUUGAGUAGUGUCACCUGGAGAAGACUGGCCUGGCCUCCCCAGUUUACGUACGUGGCCCUUGACUGUGGGUAUCCGGUGACAGUGGACGAUCCAGUACAGUGACGGGCAGUGGGGACGACAUGGGAAUGUGGGAUAAUCAUGAAUUAGAAAGUUCAAUUAAAUUUAUUGGAUUCACUCCAACUACUGUCUGUCUGAAAAGUGACACACUAUACCCUGUGUUUUGCAGAUUUUUAUGGUCAUAAUUAGUUUGCUUCUCUGUUAUAUACUAUCUGGUAACUCUCUAAGGCCAUGCUGUAAUGUAUAUGAAUACAGUAUUGAAAAGUAACCUUGAAUAAUCAUAAUGUACGUUAACGCUCACAUUUUUAAUGUUGCGUUGGAUAUGUCUUUUAUGGAAUGCUUCUAAUAUGAUCAAGAUAAAAAUAGACUCAUCUAAGGUCA